rnacentral:rRNA from 1 species
CUCAGUUCGGAUUGUAGGCUGAAACUCGCCUACAUGAAGCUGGAGUUGCUAGUAAUCGCGAAUCAGCAUGUCGCGGUGAAUACGUUCCCGGGCCUUGUACACACCGCCCGUCACACCAUGAGAGUUGGCAAUACCCAACGUACGUGAUCUAACCCGCAAGGGAGGAAGCGUCCUAAGGUAGGGUCAGCGAUUGGGGUGAAGUCGUAACAAGGUACC